rnacentral:rRNA from 1 species
GGUAAAUCUCGUGCCAGCCACCGCGGUCACACAAGAGACCCAAGCUAAUCGUUUGCGGCGUAAAGAGUGGACUCAUGCUUAUCACGCUAAUUAAGGUCAAAACGCAACUGAGCUGUCAUAAGCCUAAGAUGCAUUUAAAACCGCCCUAAAGAUGACCCUAAAUUCACAAGACUUAAUGAACUCCACGAAAGCCAGGGCACAAACUGGGAUUAGAUACCCCACUAUGCCUGGCCCUAAAUCUUGAUGCUCUAUAUAACCAAAGCAUCCGCCUGAGAACUACGAGCACAAACGCUUAAAACUCUAAGGACUUGGCGGUGCCCCAAACCCACCUAGAGGAGCCUGUUCUGUAAUCGAUACUCCACGAUACACCCGACCACUUCUUGCCAUGGACAGCCUACAUACCGCCGUCGCCAGCUCACCUCCUCUGAGAGCACUACAGUGAGCACAACCGCCCUAACCCCGCUAACAAGACAGGUCAAGGUAUAGCUUAUGAAGUGGAAGAAAUGGGCUACAUUUUCUAAUCUAGAAAAUCCCACGAAAAGGGGCAUGAAAUAGCCCCUAGAAGGCGGAUUUAGCAGUAAAGAGGGAUAAUAUAAGCCCCCUUUAAGCUGGCUCUGGGGCACGUACAUACCGCCCGUCACCCUCCUCAUAAGCUCUAAACUACCAAUAAAUAAUACUCCUACCUGCUAAAGAUGAGGUAAGUCGUAACAAGGUAAGCAUACUGGA